AAAGAAAGCGUAAUAGCUCACUGGUCGAGUCGGCCUGCGCGGAAGAUGUAACGGGGCUAAACCAUGCACCGAAGCUGCGGCAGCGACGCUGAUGCGUUGUUGGGUAGGGGAGCGUUCUGUAAGCCUGUGAAGGUGGCCUGUGAGGGUUGCUGGAGGUAUCAGAAGUGCGAAUGCUGACAUAAGUAACGAUAAAGCGGGUGAAAAGCCCGCUCGCCGGAAGACCAAGGGUUCCUGUCCAACGUUAAUCGGGGCAGGGUGAGUCGACCCCUAAGGCGAGGCCGAAAGGCGUAGUCGAUGGGAAACGGGUUAAUAUUCCCGUACUUGGUGUUACUGCGAAGGGGGGACGGAGAAGGCUAUGUUGGCCGGGCGACGGUUGUCCCGGUUUAAGCGUGUAGGUGUGUGUUCCAGGUAAAUCCGGUUCACUUUAACACUGAGGCGUGACGACGAGGCACUACGGUGCUGAAGCAACAAAUGCCCUGCUUCCAGGAAAAGCCUCUAAGCAUCAGGUAACAUCAAAUCGUACCCCAAACCGACACAGGUGGUCAGGUAGAGAAUACCAAGGCGCUUGAGAGAACUCGGGUGAAGGAACUAGGCAAAAUGGUGCCGUAACUUCGGGAGAAGGCACGCUGACACGUAGGUGAAGUGAUUUACUCAUGGAGCUGAAGUCAGUCGAAGAUACCAGCUGGCUGCAACUGUUUAUUAAAAACACAGCACUGUGCAAACACGAAAGUGGACGUAUACGGUGUGACGCCUGCCCGGUGCCGGAAGGUUAAUUGAUGGGGUCAGCGCAAGCGAAGCUCCUGAUCGAAGCCCCGGUAAACGGCGGCCGUAACUAUAACGGUCCUAAGGUAGCGAAAUUCCUUGUCGGGUAAGUUCCGACCUGCACGAAUGGCGUAAUGAUGGCCAGGCUGUCUCCACCCGAGACUCAGUGAAAUUGAACUCGCUGUGAAGAUGCAGUGUACCCGCGGCAAGACGGAAAGACCCCGUGAACCUUUACUAUAGCUUGACACUGAACAUUGAGCCUUGAUGUGUAGGAUAGGUGGGAGGCUUUGAAGUGUGGACGCCAGUCUGCAUGGAGCCGACCUUGAAAUACCACCCUUUAAUGUUUGAUGUUCUAACGUGGACCCGUUA
rnacentral:rRNA from 1 species